ensembl:lncRNA novel transcript
GAAGUGUUCUUGGGAAGAUCUAUUCAUUGAUUUUGUACCAAACCUGCACUCUCAUUUUGUACCAAAAUGUACCAAACCUGAUGCACCUCAAAGGUGGCACCAGAUGGGUGUGAAUGUCACACACAGGAGUAAAACUCUUCCUAGAGCAAAUGAUAAUGAGAGAGCUGAAGGCAGAUGCAUGCUUGAACUCUCAUAUGGGAGCUAUGUGGGAGACCAACAGGUCUGUGAAAGAGAACUCCAGUCAGAGUAAGAAAUACAGCACACAAAUCGAGUGUCUCAGUCCUGGGAGUGCUUGCAGGCACUUCCGGAGCUUCCAUUAUCAUGAAGCAACUGAACCGCUUGAGGCUAUCAACCAACUUCAGAAAUUGUGCCAUCAGUGGCUGAGGCCAGAGAUCCACUCAAAAAAGCACAUUUUGGAAAUGCUGGUACUAGAGCACUUCCUGACCAUCCUGCCAAAGGGGACCCAGAACUGGGUGCAGAAGCAUCAUCCACAGCUUGCCAAACAGGCCCUGGUCCUGGUGGAACGCUUGCAGAGAGAACCUGGUGGAACAAAGAAUGAGGUCACAGCCCAUGAGCUGGGAGAGGAGGCAGUGCUCUUGAGAGGAACAACAGUGGCCCCAGGCUUCAAGUGGAAGCCAGCAGAGCUCGAACCAAUGGGUCUGUUCUAGAAAGAAUACUGGAACACAUACAGGGUACUACAAGAACAGCUGGGCUGGAAUACUCAGAAAGAAACCCAGCCUGUAUAUGAAAGAGCUGUGCAUGUUCAACAGAUUUUAGCCCUUUCUGAGCACAAAAGCACCAAAGACUGGAAGAUGGCACCUAAGCUCAUCUGGCCUGAG